CUGUUUCUCAGCUGAGGAGCUCUCCUCUCUCUCACCACCAUGCCACUGACUCUUGGGCAGUCCAGGAUCUUGCACAUCUGCAGGUACAGCCCACAGACCCCGUCCCCUCACAUUCAGUCAAUCCCCUUUCUCUCCUGGGAGUCCAGAUCCACAGGAACCACAACCAGAGCACAGUGAGCCAGACCAAGGUGACUUGAGUCCAGGUAUUUGCAAGCUCAGAUAUUUCCCAGUCCACCCUACUAUCUGCCUCAUGGAAUGAAUUGUAGACUUUAGACUCAAAAAAACUCAGAGAUGCUGACCCAGACAGGCUA